UACGUAGGUGGCAAGCGUUGUCCGGAUUUACUUGGCGUAAAGAGCGCGCAGGCGGUCGAGUAAGUCGAAUGUGAAAGCCCCCGGCUUAACUGGGGAGGGUCAUUCGAUACUGUUCGACUUGAAGGCAGGAGAGGGCAGCAGAAUUCCCGGUGUAGUGGUGAAAUGCGUAGAUAUCGGGAGGAAUACCAGUGGCGAAGGCGGCUGCCUGGCCUGUUCUUGACGCUGAGGCGCGAAAGCUGGGGGAGCAAACGGG
rnacentral:rRNA from 1 species